rnacentral:rRNA from 1 species
AUUGAACGCUGGCGGCAGGCCUAACACAUGCAAGUCGAGCGGAUGAAGGGAGCUUGCUCCUGGAUUCAGCGGCGGACGGGUGAGUAAUGCCUAGGAAUCUGCCUGGUAGUGGGGGAUAACGUCCGGAAACGGGCGCUAAUACCGCAUACGUCCUUAUGGAGAAAGUGGGGGAUCUUCGGACCUCUCGCUAUCAUAUGAGCCUAGGUCGGAUUAGCUAGUUGGUGGGGUAAAGGCCUACCAAGGCGACGAUCCGUAACUGGUCUGAGAGGAUGAUCAGUCACACGGGAACUGAGACACGGUCAAGAAUCCUACGGGAGGCAGCAGUGGGGAAUAUUGGACAAUGGGCGAAAGCCUGAUACAGCAAUGCCGCGUGUGUGAAGAAGGUCUUCGGAUUGUAAAGCACUUUAAGUUGGGAGGAAGGGAAGUAAGUUAAUACCUUGCUGUUUUGACGUUACCAACAGAAUAAGCACCGGCUAACUUCGUG